rnacentral:lncRNA from 1 species
UCGUUCUUUUGAUCUAGGCUGACAGUUGUGAAAAUAUCGACUUGUUGACCGCUUUGUUGAUCUUGUCACAAGAUUUUGUUACCGUAAAAAAUACAGGAUAAAGGAAGGGAUUGUUACAUCUAUGCAGCAACUUGUCAACGAAUAGUCAAGGUCUUGGCGGAUGUUUUGAGCGCACAGUAACAAACACUGGUCUAAGUGUAUCAACGCAGGAAGCUACAAGAUACAUGUGAUUACAUCUGCUGAUCGGAAGGAGUUGCUGAGGAUGUAAAAAACAAGCCAUAUUUUGGGGAAAUGGAGUAGGAAGACGUUGGCUGGUUGCAGUGGCAUUUUAACAGUACCGCAGUAGAUGUUUAGGAAGUGCUGAUAGACGAAGCUAUGAUUACCUAGCAGAGCAAAACAGUUCCGCAAUCCAGAAUUCCAGAAACAAAUGAUGCAUCAUAGUUGGACUAGUGUAAACGGAAUUAAUGCAGUGGACUUUUAUUUGUUGGACAAUCCAUAUUAUUCGUUUGACAAUUGAUUUAUAAAGACACCUGUCAAAAUGUAUUAGGCAGGUAUAAAACAAAAUAAAAGGCUUCUUAUGGUCAACCUUCAUACUAUAGUAGCCUGCUGUCAGAAAAUUACCUCUUACAUUAUUUAGGU